rnacentral:rRNA from 1 species
GCACUUUUGUCCGGAAAGAAAAUCUCCGUACUAAUAUGGUGGGCGGAUGAUAGUACCGUGCCAACAACCACCGGCUAACUACGUGCCAGCGCCUUCGGUAAUACUUAUGGUGCAAGCGUUAAUCUGAAUUACUGGGCGUAAAGCGUGCGCAAGCGGUCCGCUAAGACAGAUGUGAAAUCCCCGGGCUUAACCUGGGAACUGCAUUUGAGACUGGCGGGCUUGAGUAUGGCACAGGGGGGUAGAAUUCCACGUGUAGCAAUGAAAUGCGUAAAGAUGUGGAGGAAUACCGAUGGCGAAGGCAGCCCCCUGGGCCAAUACUGACGCUCAUGCAUCAAAAGCGUGGGGAGCAAACAGGAUUAGAUACCCUGGUAGUCCACGCCCUAAACGAUGUCAACUAUUUGUUGGGGAUUCAUUUCCUUAUUAACGUAGCUGACACGUGAAGUUGACCGCCUGGGGAGUACGGUUCUCAAGAUUAAAACUCAAAGGAAUUGACGG